CGUCACUUUUAUUUUUUGUUACGAGAUCUUCGCUUUAAUUCUUUUUUUUUUUUUUGGUCAAGUAGCCUAGUGGCUAGAGCUCACACAAUUUAAUUGUGGAGAAGUGGAGUGUCCGGGGUUCGAACCCCGACUCCUGCAUAUAAUAUGCAAUAUCCCUACCAACUGAGCUAUGCUCACGGGGAUCGCUUUAAUUCUAAUUCUAUAAGAAUAAGAAUAAAUAAAAGCAAGUUUCCCCUAAACAAUUUUUUUUUGUAAAAAGAAUAAAAAUGAAAGGCUAUUAUCUAUAGAAAAGGUGCGUACGUUAAAAAAAGAAUAAAAGUGAAAGGCUACUUUUUAUAGGAAAGGUGCGUACGUUAGUACAAUCCCUAAAACCAAAAAAAGUUCAAAACCAGCGCAAAAUAGUAAAAAUAUAAUAGACCAUAGAACAAACAAGUUAAGCCUUCUCAGUCAUACCAUAUCCGUUUACCCUAAAAAUCGCACAGGCCACCAUGGCCUAUAACUCGUGAGCAUGCGCAAAUUAGCAUUAGUAGUGGCUUAGGUGCAUGCAUGAUAUGAUUUUGAUAAAGACAAAAGGAAAACCCUCAUAAUUGAUUAUAGACUAUUAGACCAGAAGAAAAGAAAAAAAAAAAAAUUUGAAUUUGAUAAAACACAGAUUGCUUUCAAUCAAAAGAUAGUACAUAGUAUACAGAUACGAUUAGAUCUAGUCAAGGUUGAAAGCAGUAAAAAAAGAUUGACACUUUUAAUCAAUUUCUUAAUACUUUAAAAACAUUUUUGUGAAGUGACGAAGAAAAAGUACUUACCGGAGCCAAAAGCGUGGCUUUGACAAUAGCAGAAGCUAACAUGGUUACAAGAGCUUCCGCGGCGUACGUUAACGCGCCAAAACGGAGCGUGGCGUCCAUCAUCGAACUCUGCUGUUCAGUUUCCAUUUCGUACGACAAACAAACAAGUCCCUUCUUCUCUCAAACCACAAAACGAAUAUUAUCCUGUAAAUAAUUAAUUAAUAAUUAAUUAAAUCAUAUCACCAUCACCGUUAGCUAGAUCAUCUCAGAAAUCACGACAGUUGCUGCUCUUUUUUCAGAAAUCAUGACACCAAUUAUUACUUUAAUUUUUUUUUAAUAAAAUUAAUUUUAACAAAUAUUUCUCCUUAAACCAUACAAAACAUAAAUUAUACAAUAGUCUCAAUUGUAUAAAAAUUCACUAAAAUUAUUUAACGAAGAAUUAAAACUAAUUAGGAAAGCAUAAGAACAACAGUUAGAAUUUUGCUUUUUUAAAGUGAAACAUGAAUAAGCUAAACAACUCACCAAAAGUGGAAGUGUUUGAGCAAAAAAGAGGGGAAAAAAACUUUCAGAAGCAGAAAUUUCAACGCAUAAACUGAGAAAUUGAAAAUUAAGCAUAAAAAAAAAGUGAAUUAAGAAGAAAAAGGUGAGAAUUGAAGAGAAGAAAGAUGAGAGAGGUUACCAGAAAGGAAGAUCUAGAGACUGAGAAGCAAGAUCUGAGGGUUUGAAGAACUAAAACCUCUGAAAAA
rnacentral:lncRNA from 1 species